GAUGAACGCUGGCGGCGUGCCUAAUACAUGCAAGUCGAGCGAACGGACGAGAAGCUUGCUUAUCUGAUGUUAGCGGCGGACGGGUGAGUAACACGUGGAUAACCUACCUAUAAGACUGGGAUAACUUCGGGAAACUGUAGCUAAUACCGGAUAAUAUUUUGAACCGCAUGGUUCAAAAGUGAAAGACGGUCUUGCUGUCACUUAUAGAUGGAUCCGCGCUGCAUUAGCUAGUUGGUAAGGUAACGGCUUACCAAGGCAACGAUGCAUAGCCGACCUGAGAGGGUGAUCGGCCACACUGGAACUGAGACACGGUCCAGACUCCUACGGGAGGCAGCAGUAGGGAAUCUUCCGCAAUGGGCGAAAGCCUGACGGAGCAACGCCGCGUGAGUGAUGAAGGUCUUCGGAUCGUAAAACUCUGUUAUUAGGGAAGAACAUAUGUGUAAGUAACUGUGCACAUCUUGACGGUACCUAAUCAGAAAGCCACGGCUAACUACGUG
rnacentral:rRNA from 1 species